GAAUCAGGAAAAUGGGCUAGAUGACCAGGUCCAAACAGCCCACAUGCAUCUGUCUCUCCGUAUGAUGCCUCCAAAAUCUGACUAAUGCCUUCUUCACUUUGCAUUCUAAACUUCCAGGAAUUUAGGCUAUUGAUGCAGUCUACAGGUAACCAUGAAAGAAUAAAUUCUGGGCCAGGCACAGUGGCUUAUGCCUGUAAUCCUAGUGCUUUAAGAGGCUGAGGCUAGAGGGUGACUUGAGGCCAGGAGUUUGAGACCAGUCUGGGCAACAUAGCAAGACACCAUCUCUACAAAAAAAAAAAAAAAAAAAGAUGAAAAACCAAAAAUAAAAACAUUAGCUGGGCUUGGUGGCACAUACCUAUAGUUCCAGCCAUUUGGGAGGCUGAGGUCAGAAGGCCACCUGAGCUCGAGAGUUUGAGGUAAAAGUGAGCCACAGUCGUGCCACUGCACUCCAGCCUGAGUGACAGAGUGAGACCCUAUUUCAGAAAGAAAGAAAGAAAGAAAUGAAGUCUGAAAAGUUUAGUUCCCAUUACCCAGACUGACAUGACACAAUCCAUGAAAGGCAUCUCCCAUUUUAGAUUUUAUUAUUCUAUCAUAGCUGUCUCCUUAUCCCACAAUCAAUUAUACAAAGAGCAGCCAGAAUAAAUAACAAGGAGUAAAGAACAACAGGUUAAAAUAAUAAUUCACGAGACUACAGUCUGUGAUAAACUUUACAUACUUAGAAUUAACAACAACUCUUUAAUAGGAAGGAAAAUAAAAUUAUUUGAGCCAAGAAAAAAAAAAAUGGGCUAGGUGUGAUGGCUCACACAUGUAAUCCCAGACUUUAGGAGGCUGAGGUGGGUGGAUCACUUGAGGUCAGGAGUUCUACCAGCCUGGCCAACAUGGUGAAACCCCAUCUCUACUAAAAAUACAAAAAAUUAGCCAGGUGUGGUGGCACAUGCCUGUAGUCCCAGCUUCCUAGGAGGCUAAGGUGGGAGAAUCACUUGAACCCAGAAGGCAGAGGUUGCAAUGAGCCGAGAUCGCGCCACUGUACUCCAGCUUGGGCAACAGAGCACAGAGCGAGACCCUGUCUCAAAAAGAAAAAAGAAGAAAGAAAAAAGAAAAAAGGAAAAAAAAGGAGCUGUUCCAAUAAAUAUGAUGGAAUAUAUAUAAUGUGGAAAGGGAAUCAAGAACCUGCUAAAUGAAGCAAGUAGGUUCAUACCAACAUUUAUUAAGACUUAUUUUUCAGUGGUCCUCAAUCACAGAACAAUUAAGCAACCAUAUACAAUUUAACAUACCUGAAUAUGAGAAACACAUUUAAAUUCAUUGUUGGAUUAAACACAUUUCAAAAUGGAAAGACAAAUAUUUUAUUUACUGACCUAAAACAACACUACCUAUGAAAUUCAUGCACUAUUGCUUUCAGAUUACUUACAGGAUUAUAUCAAUUUAACAUUUCUUUGUGAGAUUAAGCAUUUGAAAUCCAUAGUCAGAGAACUAUUUUAAAUAUGAGCCACUAAUUAACAAGUCCUUUCAUGCAGUCGAAAGGAACUAGAAGAUCUAAAGGCUUUACCACAUCGCUUACAUUCAAAGGGUUUCUCACCAGUGUGAAUCAUUUCAUGUGUUCGAAAGGAGUUGAGAUAACUGAAGGCUUUCCCACAUUGCUUACACUCAUAGGGUUUCUCUCCAGUAUGAGUUCUUUCAUGUAUUCGAAUUGAUGUUGAAGAAACGAAAGCUUUACCACAAUGUUUACAUACAUAAGGUUUCUCUCCAGUGUGAGUUCUUUCAUGUAUUCGAAAUGGACUCAGAGAAUGAAAGGGUUUCCCACAUACCUUACAUUUAUAAGGUCCUUCUCCAGUAUGCUUUAUCAUGUGUCUUCGCAUACUUGGGAUACAACUGAAUGCUUCCCCACAUUCCUUACAUUCAUAGGGUUUUUCUCCAGUGUGAGUCCUUUCAUGUAUUUGAAAGGUACUGGCAGAUCUAAAGGCUUUA
rnacentral:lncRNA from 1 species